rnacentral:rRNA from 1 species
ACUCCUACGGGAGGCAGCAGUGGGGAAUUUUGGACAAUGGGGGCAACCCUGAUCCAGCCAUUCCGCGUGAGUGAAGAAGGCCUUCGGGUUGUAAAGCUCUUUCAGCAGGAACGAAACGGUCGGCUCUAAUAAGGUCGGCUAAUGACGGUACCUGCAGAAGAAGCACCGGCUAACUACGUGCCAGCAGCCGCGGUAAUACGGAGGGUGCAAGCGU